rnacentral:rRNA from 1 species
CGGACGGGUGAGUACAACAUAGGAAAUCUGCCUUAGGGUGGGGGACAACAGAGGGAAACUUCUGCUAAUACCCCAUAUGAGCUUGGUUGAAAUACCAAUCUUGAAAGUUCCGGCGCCCUAAGAUGAGCCUGUGCCUGAUUAGCUAGUUGGUGGUGUAAUGGACUACCAAGGCGACGAUCAGUAGCUGGUUUGAGAGGAUGAUCAGCCACAAUGGGACUGAGACACGGCCCAUACUCCUACGGAAGGCAGCAG